UAGAGCCCAGCCUGCACCUCCCCUCAUGAUUACACAGGAACUGUCUACUGAUGAUGACCCAGCAAAAAAAACAGCUGGUUCACUGAAACGGCACAAACAAAAGUAUUGCUCAAUUUCUUUCUUUCUUUUUUUUUUUUUUUUAAAGCAUCUCAUGUCCUCUUUUAAUAAACAUAAAAAUAUAAUGGCCAGUUCCUCUUCCCCCAGGACAGUCUCAUUUUGUCACCUUCCCAUCUGCCCCUCCCCACAAGCUAAAAUCCCCAUGACAUCAAAUCUCCAUCAGUCCAGAGAUUUUUGACACUGCAUGAGCCAUACAAGGUUCUUUCUCUUUCCCAAGUCCCACCCGCUCAAGGUAAAAACGAUGGCCUCCGACAUUUUUGUAGCUGUACCAGGAAUAGUGACAUACCCUGCAGCCUGGUGAGGAAAAUGGACAUAUGCCACAAAGUUAGACUUGUAUAUGGGCAGCAACCAUCUUAAUUAGAGAUGAGGGGCUUCCCUGUCAUUGGAAAUGUUCACAUGGCGUAUCAGUGACCAACAGCUGGGAAAAGGAAGAAUGGGCACAUUUUGCCUUGGGUAGGGAGCUGGACUGUUUGAGCCACCUACAUCUGAAUGUGGGACCUACAGGGCAGAGAGGAGCUCCUGGUAUCGGGACCUGAGAUCAACGAGGAUCAACGCCUCCUUACAACAUUCUGCAAAAUAAUUCCUCAACAAAAGGUCGGUGACUAUUUCCAAAAUGAAAAAGUGGCUGCUAGAAACCAGUGUGGAUUCACUUAGAGAAAGUCACUGAGAACUAGAACAUGGAUGGACACUUCAAAAAACAGAGACAAAAGGAGAGUUUGAGCAGAGGCAGAAAAAAACUUGCCUAGGACAGUGCUGAAGAGACUAUUUGGAGGGAAGAAGGACGCAAACAAGAUCAAUCCUUGUCACGUGAUCCCAGACGCCAAGAGUUUACUCCAGAAGCUUCCUUUCAACUGGUCACCAGCUCCCCAUCCACUGAAAUCCUCCCCACCCUCCACGUGCAUUAUUACGGUCUUUGUGUGGCAUGAAAGGGACCUCUGCAUAAACUACUUUAUUAAGAAAAUAUUAGUCUUUUACAGAUGGACAACAAGGUGCAUGGUUUUCUUACAAUUCUGAUGGGGCCAGGAAACCCUGUGUAAGGCCUUCACACUAUGUGGUGAGAGGUGGCGACUGUGCGCUGCUCACUCCAGCCCAGCUUCUUACUGUCUGGUGGCUGGAAUAUGUGGGGCUGUCCUUAGACUCCUGCCAGGAAGCCGAAAUUCUUUGCUUGAGAGGAGCUGAUGGUAAGAGGAGCCGGAUCCCUCACCCACUGCCCACCCGCAGGAUGAAGUCCAGCCAUGCAGGCCCCUUCCUAGUCUCUCUCUGCAGACUCCUUUCCCA